rnacentral:rRNA from 1 species
GAUGAACGCUGGCGGCGUGCCUAAUACAUGCAAGUCGAGCGAACGGACGAGAAGCUUGCUUCUCUGAUGUUAGCGGCGGACGGGUGAGUAACACGUGGAUAACCUACCUAUAAGACUGGGAUAACUUCGGGAAACCGGAGCUAAUACCGGAUGAUAUUUUGAACCGCAUGGUUCAAAAGUGAAAGACGGUCUUGCUGUCACUUAUAGAUGGAUCCGCGCUGCAUUAGCUAGUUGGUAAGGUAACGGCUUACCAAGGCAACGAUGCAUAGCCGACCUGAGAGGGUGAUCGGCCACACUGGAACUGAGACACGGUCCAGACUCCUACGGGAGGCAGCAGUAGGGAAUCUUCCGCAAUGGGCGAAAGCCUGACGGAGCAACGCCGCGUGAGUAUGAAGGUCUUCGGAUCGUAAAACUCUGUUAUUAGGGAAGAACAUAUGUGUAAGUAACUGUGCACAUCUUGACGGUACCUAAUCAGAAAGCCACGGCUAACUACGUG